rnacentral:misc_RNA from 1 species
AAACCCCUUCACUCUCCCCUUGUGGGCACGGAGUGAGACUUGUCGGCUGAGCCGGUGGUGGUGCAUGCUGCCGCUGGCUCUCUGACUAAAGGCAUUAGGUCUGGAUCGGGCUGGUGGCCCGGGACAUUGUGUGCUAGAGACGUUCGCCGCGAGGCAGGCUGUCUUCUCACAGUGCGUCCUGGGUCCUUGCAAGCUGGCCCGGUGAGGACCUUUUGGUGGUGCGCUUCGCGGCGUCCACAACCCCCCU